rnacentral:tRNA from 2 species
GGAGGCGUGGCCGAGUGGUCGAAGGCGCUCCCCUGCUAAGGGAGUAGGCGGGAAACCGUCUCGAGGGUUCGAAUCCCUUCGUCUCCGCCA